CGACUCUCGGCAACGGAUAUCUCGGCUCUCGCAUCAAUGAAGAACGUAUCGAAAUGCGGUACUUGGUGUGAAUUGCAGAAUCCCGUGAACCAUCGAGUCUUUGAAUGCAAGUUGCAGCCGAAGCCGUCAGGCUGAGGGCACGUCUGCCUGGGUGUCACA
rnacentral:rRNA from 1 species